ACAACCUGCCCUUAGGUUGGGUAUAAACCCGGGAAACUGGGUAUAAUACCCGAUAGGUCUCGAUUGCUGGAAUGCAUCGAGAUUUAAAGCUCCGGCGCCUAAGGAUGGGUCUGCGACCUAUCAGGUAGUAGUGGGUGUAGCGUACCUACUAGCCUACGACGGGUACGGGUUGUGAGAGCAAGAGCCCGGAGAUGGAUUCUGAGACACGAAUCCAGGCCCUACGGGGUGCAGCAGGCGCGAAAACUUCACAAUGCUGGCAACAGCGAUAAGGGAACCUCGAGUGCCAGGUUACAAAUCUGGCUGUCGAGAUGCCUAAAAAGCAUUUCAUAGCAAGGGCCGGGCAAGACCGGUGCCAGCCGCCGCGGUAACACCGGCGGCUCGAGUGGUAACCGUUAUUAUUGGGUCUAAAGGGUCUGUAGCCGGCCGGAUAAGUCUCUUGAGAAAUCUGGCAGCUUAACUGUCAGGCUUUCAGGAGAUACUGUCUGGCUCGAGGCCGGGAGAGGUGAGAGGUACUUCAGGGGUAGGGGUGAAAUCUUGUAAUCCUUGAAGGACCACCAGUGGCGAAGGCGUCUCACCAGAACGGACCUGACGGCAAGGGACGAAAGCUAGGGGCACGAACCGGAUUAGAUACCCGGGUAGUCCUAGCCGUAAACGAUACUCGCUAGGUGUCGGCCACGGUGCGACCGUUGUCGGUGCCGUAGGGAAGCCGUGAAGCGAGCCACCUGGGAAGUACGGCCGCAAGGCUGAAACUUAAAGGAAUUGGCGGGGGAGCACCACAACGGGUGGAGCUUGCGGUUUAAUUGGAUUCAACGCCGGAAAUCUUACCGGGACCGACAGCAAUAUGAAGGCCAGGCUGAAGACUUUGCCGGAUUAGCUGAGAGGUGGUGCAUGGCCGUCGUCAGUUCGUACUGUGAAGCAUCCUGUUAAGUCAGGCAACGAGCGAGACCCACGCCCACAGUUGCCAGCGUACUCUCUGGAGUGACGGGUACACUGUGGGGACCGCCGCUGCUAAAGCGGAGGAAGGAAUGGGCAACGGUAGGUCAGUAUGCCCCGAAUAUCCCGGGCUACACGCGAGCUACAAUGGUUGGUACAAUGGGUAUCUACCCCGAAAGGGGACGGGAAUCUCCUAAAACCAAUCUUAGUUCGGAUUGAGGGCUGCAACUCGCCCUCAUGAAGCUGGAAUCCGUAGUAAUCGCGUUUCAACAGAACGCGGUGAAUACGUCCCUG
rnacentral:rRNA from 1 species